CACGUAGGGCGCAAGCGUUGUCCGGAAUUAUUGGGCGUAAAGAGCUCGUAGGCGGACUGUCGCGUCUGCUGUGAAAAGCUGGGGCUUAACCCUGGCCUUGCAGUGGAUACGGGCAGACUAGAGGUAGGUAGGGGAGAAUGGAAUUCCCGGUGUAGCGGUGAAAUGCGCAGAUAUCGGGAGGAACACCGGUGGCGAAGGCGGUUCUCUGGGCCUUACCUGACGCUGAGGCGCGAAAGCCAGGGGAGCGAACGGG
rnacentral:rRNA from 1 species